UACGGCCACUUCACGUUGAAACACCGGUUCACAUACGAUCCCCGAAGUUAAGCAACGUCGCGCCUGUUCAAUACCCAAAGAGAUAACCGCUUGGGAAUAUUAGGUGCUGUAAG